CACGCACACACCCACACACACCCUGUUUAAACAUUCAUCUUCACUCUGGUCUGCUGAUUCUACCUUCACACAACUGCCAGAAUCUUCCUCAAGCACAAUCUAAGCAUAUUGACUUCUGGACUCAAAAAACUCCAAGGAUUAUCAGAAAAAAGGGAAAUAGGAAGAAAGAAAAAAACCAAGAACACCGAAAAUAACGAUGCCGUAAGUUUGGAGAACACUCACACCGUUAUGCCGUUUGUUCCGUACAGUAACCCCCUGACGAUCAUUACAGGGGAGACACUCAUUUGGAAAAGGAGGAAGCCAAAUUUCAGGGAGGGCGAGUGAUGUGCCCAAUACCAACCAGUUUGACAGUGGCAGAACUGUGGCUCCUGAUGGCAGGUCGGGGUUCUUUUUGCCACACCACUUUUCUGCCUUUCUGUGUCUUCUCCUUCUUGUCAUAUUGAUACGAAGAGUGAAAUGGUAACUACA